CCAUGUUCUGCCCUACAUGCAACAGAGCACGUAAUUCUGAGUAGCGAGGCCUGAAUGUGCUGUCUGCUCUCUGGAAGGCUAAUCAGCGUGCUGCAGCUGGAGUGUCCUCUCCUGUGACCAAACGCAAAGAGGAAGGGCUGAGAUGCCAGAGUCUCCUGAGUUACUGCCAGGACUUUCUGAAGGGAAGUCUUCCAGUUCAAUCUUCCAUCCAAUUGAGAAUCACUGCAAUUGGAAAAGGCAGCAAGGAAGCUCAAGUUGAAGAGACAGGCAAAAUUCCCUUGGACUGGCCAGCAGGAACAGCCAUCCAGCCAAGACACAUGCUAUUGGCUGUCAAACCACGUUAGAAAUGGAGCGAUCCUGCAAGUGGACACCGUACCUUAGUACCAUGACUUAGGAGAUACCUCUGUGCAAGCCAUGGCUAAAGAUGGAGGGGAGGAACCCAUGGCCCAUGAACAGGAAGAUCACUUUCUGGUGGAUGGUGACCAGUCGAAAAGGGAGCAGGGAGUGGGACAGCAACAUGUGUACCCAGACGCCUGGAAGAGUAAGCACUUUACUAUUUGCAUGUAUUUGCUUCCUUUCUGGUGCCAGUGUUACUUUUAACGUCCUUACCUCUUUCCACAGCCUCUCCUCCAGUUGAAUCGGACUGCUAAUAUCAGCCUUCAAAGCUGCGCAGUCAAUUCCCUAAACCUCCCAUCAACCCUACUUGUAUCCCAGGUCCACAGGCUAGAGCAGGGGGAACAGAUGCAAGAGAACAGCCAUCAGCCUCUCUUCCCAUAUUUUGUUUUCUAGACAGAUAUUUGAUUAUGCAGAUCAUUAUCAUAUGAAAGCUGAGGCAAGAAGACAUUUGCUGUAUGCAGGGGAAGGACAAGAGUUAGAGCUGGCAUGUUGGAUAUAUUGCAUCAGCUUGUUGCAUUUUUUGCCUUUUGCACUGAAGUUGUGCCUUUUUUCUUUUUUUAAUUUUUUUUAUUUUUGUGGCUCGCACGUUAUGGUCUCUGAUCCUCUGGUCCCAUUCCAGUGUUGCUACACAAUUGCAUGUCUUGGCUCCUACAGUCAUCACUUCUCAUGGUUUGCAGCAAAGGGAAGAUGCAGAAGUCUUAAAUGUACUUCCUCAAUAACAGGAAGUGGUCUUACCUUCCACAUUUUGGCUGAAACUCUUUAGCUGGGGGGAGAAAAAGGCAAUCAGUCCACUGUAAAGGGUCUCAAAUCAGUUUCCACGCCUGUGUUUCAUAUGAAACAGAAAGGACGUAUAAUUUAGUAAUACCCUUUUCCAAAUCACAUAUGAAUGAUAGAAAUAACUAUAUUUCUCAAAGUGCAGGAGCUUCAUUUCUCUACACAGUACACUGUGCUUAUUCCUACAAGUUUUUUGAGAAAUACAGCAUUAGAUAUUGAGUUAAGAAAUAAAAGCUAGAUGUUCUUGUUCAGUUUUGUUUUAUUA